rnacentral:rRNA from 1 species
GACAUAGGUCGCAAACGUUAUCCGGAAUUAUUGGGCGUAAAGGAUGCGUAGAUGGUUCAGUAAGUUACUGGUGGGAAAUCGAGGCCCAACCUCGUGGAAGUUAGUAAUACUGUUGAACUUGAGUGCAGGAGAGGUUAACGGAACUUCAUGUGGAGCGGUAAAAUGCGUAGAUAUAUGAAAGAACAUCAAUAAGGCGAAGGCAGUUAACUAUUCUGCUACUGACAUUGAGGCAUGAAAGCGUGGGGAGCAAACAGG